rnacentral:ncRNA from 1 species
UUAAACGGCAAAGCUAUCGCAAGGUAGUGACGCAAAACUAUAGGGUCUUAAUAAGACAGCCAGUUGC